AGGGCACCACCAGGAGUGGAGCCCGCGGCUUAAUUUGACUCAACACGGGAAAACUCACCCGGCCCGGACACUGGAAGGAUUGACAGAUUGAGAGCUCUUUCUUGAUUCAGUGGGUGGUGGUGCAUGGCCGUUCUUAGUUGGUGGAGUGAUUUGUCUGGUUAAUUCCGAUAACGAACGAGACUCUAGCCUAUUAAAUAGAUCGUUGGCUUACAAACGCCGGCGAGACUUCUUAGAGGGACAGGCGGCGAUUCAGCCGCACGAAACAGAGCAAUAACAGGUCUGUGAUGCCCUUAGAUGUCCGGGGCCGCACGCGCGCUACACUGAAGUGAUCAGCGUGCAUUUUGAAACCUACUCUGUCAAGAGUGGGGAACCCAAUGAACCUUCUUCGUGAUUGGGAUAGGGGAUUGUAAUUAUUCCCCUUGAACGAGGAAUUCCCAGUAAGCGCGAAUCAUAAGUUUGCGCUGAUUACGUCCCUGCCCUUUGUACACACCGCCCGUCGCUACUACCGAUUGAAUGUUU
rnacentral:rRNA from 1 species